AUGGGUAACCGUCCCUUUAAGAGUAGAGAAUCACACCUCUUAUAUUGUCAUCAGUCCCAUUUCGAGCUCUCUCUCCCUCACACUCACACGUGGAAACUUAAGAGCUGGAAAUACAUUCUUCUUACUUUCAUCACAAGACUCAAAACUGAGUGGAUUAAAAUUCAAUGGUUUAUUCUGCAGAAGAACUAAGGGGUGAAUUUCAAUCAAGAUAAGAUAAAAAGGCAUCAAGAAAAGCACCAAAUUGUUGCAAACAUGCAUACGUACUCAUGAAAUAAACUUUUUUCCCCUUUCUUUCUGUCUGUAAGUUUCCCCUCUCAUCUCAGUGACUCUGUAUCUUUCUGUUCCCAAACAUCCUUUUUUUUUUCUUUUUUUCUUUUGUUUUGUUAUAUAAACCAUUCCUGAGCAUUUUUCUUCCCUCCCAUCUUCUGUCAGGUCAACUUGAUAUUCCUCCUAACCUCUCGCAUAACUUUCUUGUCCUGACACUUAGCAGCUUUAUCUCUUUCCACAUUCCUUCACUCUUCUUCCUUCUCCUUUUAACUCCCUUCUCCUUUUCUUUUAACCCAUUCUAACUUCUGCCUAUGGAAUUCACUUUACAUUUCCUGAUCCCAACAGUUUGUAAACUGUUCCUUUGAAUCAAAUUAUAUUUGAAAUUUGUAUUAAAAUAUGUGAAAUGCACAUUGUCUAUGGUGAAACAGCUGAAAGGCUAGUGCCUUUUUAUGUAUAGAAAAUAACAAUUUUAAUAUUUUUAUUUGAAAUUAGAAUUUUUUUAGAGAGUAAAAGAUAGCUUGCUGCUUGACCCCAAAAUAUUUCUGUAUGGUACAUUGAUUUUCUGCUGAUUCAAAUACCACAAAAAGCAUAUCCUCCCUUGAUGAUAUUAAUUUGCUUGCUUUGUCAAUACCGGUUGGAAGCUGAAUGGACUUGAUACCUUUGGGAGAUUUCUGUACAGGGAAAUUAUUCUUUUAAAAGUUGGGUUAUAUCUGUAAGACUCCAUUACUACUCUGAUGUAUUCACCAGAUGGCUACUCUAUUUGAUUAUGGAUUAUCUCAUAAUUGAAACAUCAACAUGUUUCAAAGGAAUGCCUGCCCCCAAGAGCUAUAACUCAUGGAUUUAGAGUCAAACUGUUAAUAUUUUCACUUUUUUCUCUUAAAUGCAAGCCUAUUUUCCUUUGAUUUGUAACAUACUUUAAAGAUUUAUCCAGAAUGUAAAUAGAUAACUUUAACAUUGUGUUUCAUUCAAAUAAUGGAUUGUUUGUAGCAGAACAUUUGUUUACUUCACUCGAAUUUACUCCCAUUUAGGAAACAAGCAUUUCUCAGUCAGAAAGUGCGUGUUUUGCACCAGAGAUUCCAAUUCCAACAUCUGCAGUUAAGGAUUUGAAAGACUGUAAGGAAUAUGGGAGAGUCCAUAAAAAGGACAACAACUAUGGCCACCAGCAGUAUUCCAGCCUCCUAGUUUCCCCACCUCCUUCAAAGCACUCCCUGGGAUGAGAGGGACUCAGAAAGGCAAUCAAUAAGAAUACCAUCUUUUAGAUUUCAUUUUGUGAGAUUGUCUGGGGCGUGGGGGGGGAGGGAGGGAGGGAGGGAGAGAGAGAGAGAGAGAGAGAGAGAGAGAGAGAGAGAGACCAAUUGACCAGUCCAUCAUCUAAUCCAGUGAUUACCAAAGUGGGCGCUACUGCCCCCUGGUGGGUGCUGCAAUGAUCCAGGGGGGCGGUGAUGGCCACAGGUGCAUUUGGGGGCAGGACCAGGAGAGGGGCGGGGCCUCUUCCCAAGUGCCGGAGACAGGGCUGUGCCCCUGAGGCACCUGUUAGGACACACAGGGGGUGGAGCUAGAGGAGUGGGCGUGGCUUCUUCCCAAAACGGCUGAGAAUCUAUACCUCUCCUGAGGCUCUUGUUGGGACACAGAGGGCGGAGCUAGGGAAGGGGGUGGGGCCUCCUUCCAAGAGCCCAAGACAGGGCUGAGCCUCUAUACCUCUCCUGAGCAGCCUUUUAGGACUAAAGGGGAGACUAGGGGCAGGAGCGGGACCUCUUCCCAAGAGCGCGAGACAGGGCUGAGCCUCUGUAUACCUCCCCUGUGGCUCUUGUUAGAACAUGGGGGGCAGGGUAUAGAGGCACCGCCCCCUCCUCUAGCCCCGCCCCCUGUGUCCUGGCAGGUGCCGCAGGAGAGGGAUAGAAGCUCACCCCUGCCUCAAAGCUCAUAACUCCACCCAUCCCAG
rnacentral:lncRNA from 1 species